GUUUGUAUCACUGUGGUGGACUUUUGGUGGAGGAACCAAACUCAUCGUUCACUCUGGCCCCAUGGUCAGGCCCUCAGUCUCUCUGCUUCCCCCCUCCUCUGAGCAGCUCUCUGGGGGCUCGGCCACGCUGGCCUGCCUGCUGACUGGCUACUCUCCUCAGGGAGCCGUGGUGAGCUGGGAGGUGGACGGUACAGAGGUGACAGAGGGGGUCCUGAGCAGCUCAGAGGAGGAGAAGAGCGGACGCUACAGCAGCAGCAGCACCCUGAGCCUGAGCCAGGAGCGCUGGAUGUUAGGAGAGCUGUACUCCUGCAAGGUCCUCCAUCAAGGCCACAGCCAGAUCCAGUCCCUCCGCAGGAGCCAGUGUGAGGGCUAGAGGGACUGGCUGAAGCCCAGGACAGGAGCUGUGUGUGGGGGGAGCAGGAGGAACACACCUGCUGCUCUGAUCAAUCUGAGUUUGAAUGUUUGUAGAGGAAACUAAAGCUUUGUGUGACAGAGAACAACACUGCUGUAAAGUGUUGGACAACAACAACUUAGAGAGUAAUGUGUGGAGCUCAGCAGCUAGAUGUGAGUGUGCUUCAUAACUGUCAUGUUGAUGACUGAUGUUUUUGCUAAUAAAGCUUUCACUGAUAAAUAA